rnacentral:lncRNA from 1 species
AUGUGGCCAAAAGAAGUUCAUGCACCUAAGCUUCCUGAAGCUGAAGUGACAUUGAGGAGAAGCUGCAAUUAUCCAGCUGUACUGACACCAUUAGGGAGCUUUUUCUGGAUCACAGCUGCUACACUCCACUGCAGUACUGUGUUCUCCUAUCACCUAACCUCGAAACACAGAGCCCGAUCUUCACUGAGACCUUUCACCUGGCCAUUUUUGAAUAAAAAGACUCUUAUUGUUGAACUUGACCUGAUCAGCAGUCAUUCCAAUUCAGCUGUUUUUCCAAAGGUGGUGGUACCUGCCUUAAGUUGAUAGAAUCCUUUAUUCUCCUUUUCUGUAUCCUAAAUAUUUGAUUGCACCCAAAGGGGAAACCCUCAAAUCAAAACAUUUUAUAGGAUUUGAGUUUUUCUUUCUGCUUUGAACUCCAGCUUUUUCAUCAUCCAUUAUGAUGCAUUAAAACUAAUGAUGGUCAUAGAUUCUUAUGUCUUGUCAAUGUUGCACAACUUCAACUUCAUGAUCUGUUGAGAAGAGGUCACUUCAGUUUCACCAUUUGUGAAGACACUGAUGCUAAGGAGUAAAUAUAUUGACCUGGGACACUGUGCAAUUUUAUGCAAAGAACAAAGCUUGGACGAAGAGCCACGUUUUCUGAAUUGGGGCUGCAUGAUGUGG